rnacentral:ribozyme from 1 species
UGAAUACGCCGCAAAAAAGAAAACUGCUAUUAAAAAAGAAGAAGAAGAAGAAGAAAAAGCAAAACUAACACGUCACUUCCCCUUCUUCUCUUCCUUUCUUU